rnacentral:ribozyme from 1 species
GAAACGAAAAACGAAAAACGAAAAGCGACGUUUUUGGUCGUUUUCCGUUUUCCGUUUUUGAGUUUUUUU